rnacentral:rRNA from 1 species
GAGUAACACGUGAGCAACCUACCUUUCAGUGGGGGACAACAUUUGGAAACGAAUGCUAAUACCGCAUAAGACCACAGUGUCGCAUGGCACAGGGGUCAAAGGAUUUAUCCGCUGAAAGAUGGGCUCGCGUCCGAUUAGCUAGAUGGUGAGGUAACGGCCCACCAUGGCGACGAUCGGUAGCCGGACUGAGAGGUUGAACGGCCACAUUGGGACUGAGACACGGCCCAGACUCCUACGGGAGGCAGCAUG